GACGUAGGAGGCGAGCGUUGUCCGGAUUCAUUGGGCGUAAAGAGCGCGCAGGCGGCUUGGUAAGUCGGAUGUGAAAACCCGAGGCUCAACCUCGGGCGUGCAUCCGAAACUGCUCGGCUAGAGGUAGGUAGGGGAGAUCGGAAUUCCUGGUGUAGCGGUGAAAUGCGCAGAUAUCAGGAGGAACACCGGUGGCGAAGGCGGAUCUCUGGGCAUUUCCUGACGCUGAGGCGCGAAAGCGUGGGGAGCAAACGGG
rnacentral:rRNA from 1 species